GCUGGCUGGCAAGUAGAAGAGGAGGCUCGUUUCUACUGGUCAAGCUCGUCUGCCUGUGUUUUUUUUUAUUCCCCUUAUUCUGUUUUUGGUUACCUCUCUCCCCUUUCUGUCUUGCCCCAAGCACGUAACGAGUGCGUGUGCUUGCUUGCGCAUGUGCGUUGUAGCCCUUGCUGCUACUGUUUUCACCACUUUGCACUAUCCCACGUUCGCCUGUGAUUGCACACACACGCACACAAAUAUAUAUAAAUAUACACAUCUAUGCGCAUAUAUGUAUGCAUAUAUGUGUGUGUGUGUACGUAUAUGUAUACAUAUUUGUUGCCCCCCCCCCCCCCCUCGCUCUCUCCCUCGCUUUCCUCGGGCAUACACUGUUGUAUUUCCCUUGUUGCCCGCUCCCUUCACGCAUGUCUACUGACUAUUCACUCCGUCUCUGCUUGUCACGCCUCACUUCUAAGAACCACAGCCGAGCGCAAGCACGCACAUCAACUGACGCAACGCAGACACGCGCAGCAAAACCAUCAUGAGCGCUGACAAGAAGGUGGUCAUAAUUGGCGCCGGUCCGACCGGCCUCGGCGCUGCUGUGCGUUUGAUGGAGCUCAAGCACGCCAACUUCCAUCUCUACGACGGCGGCGCCGUCCCUGGCGGCCUCUCGCGCAGCGUCCUCGACGAAAAAGGUUUCUUAUGGGACAUGGGUGGCCACGUCAUCUUUUCCCACUACGCGUACUUUGACGAUGUCAUGAACCUCGCCAUCUCUGACUGGAACACGCUCCAGCGCGAGUCAUGGGUGCGCUGCUCCGGCGCCUGGGUGCCAUACCCGUUUCAGAGCAACAUUCACCGCCUCCCACCGGAGGUGCGAGACACUUGCCUGAAAGGUAUUGAGGAGGCCGAGGCGGCGCGUGCUGUCGCCGCGCAGGAGAAGCCGCAGAACUUCGCCGAGUAUGUCUCGCGUCAUUUUGGCGAGGGCAUCGCCGAGGUUUUCAUGCGCCCGUACAACUUUAAGGUGUGGGCAGUACCGCUGCAUGUGAUGAGCACGGAGUGGGUUGGCGAGCGCGUGGCCGCUGUGAACGUUGAGCGCAUCAGGGAGAACAUCCAACUCAAGCGCGAUGACAUUGGCUGGGGCCCCAACGCCACUUUCCGGUUCCCGAAGUCGGGCGGCACCGGCGCCAUCUACAAGGCCGUGUGGAAGAUGAUCCCAGAGGCGCACAAGACGCUUGGUCCACAGUGCCGCGUCACCAAGGUGAACCCGAUUACGAAGACGCUGACAAUGGCGAGUGGCGAGGCGGUGUCGUACGAUGCGCUUGUCUCCACGAUGCCGCUAGAUGAUCUUCUUCUCGCCGUGGCGGCCGGAGUGGAGGAGGAUGCGGAGACCGCGUCAGCGUCGGCGCUCAAAUCGCCGCGGCUGCGCGAGAUUGCUGAAAAGAUGGUUUACAGUUCCACCCACAUCAUCGGCAUCGGCGUGAAAGGGUGCCCGCCACCAGAGAUGCGGACGGCGUGCUGGCUGUACUUUCCGGACGACGGUAUUCCGUUCUACCGCGCGACGAUCUUCUCCCGCUACGCGGACACAAACGCGCCGGAGGGGCACUGGAGCAUCCUGCUGGAGGUAAGCCAAAAUGUGCAAUACAAACCCGUCAACGUGGACACCGUAGUGGAAGACUGCAUUGCUGGCCUUCGAACGGCGACGUUACUUCGCCCAGAGGACGAGAUUGUGUCGCGUUGGCACCACAUUGAGAAGAAGGGCUACCCGAUCCCAUUCGUGGGCCGCAACGAGCUGCUGGAGGAGGUGCAGCCGGUACUGCGUGACAAGUAUCAGAUCUAUUCACGCGGCCGCUUCGGCGCAUGGCGGUACGAGGUAGCAAAUCAAGAUCACUCGUUGAUGCAAGGCGUCGAGGCAGUGGGACACAUCUUUCACGGCACCGACGAGGACACCGUGCAUAAACCAGAAAAGGUCAAUACCCAGCGCGGUGAGAUGCGCUGCACAUUGUCGUCGACGGCCUCGUAGAUGCCAAGGUUGGCAGUCAUGGACAAGGAUGUCGAGGGGUUUCCCUUUCACCUAUCAUGUGCUUCACUGCCCCGUACGACGACCUUCACCAUCGCCCCGGCACACAGAAAAGCUGAGCGCCGCUGCACGGUUGUCAGAGGAGGGGUGAGGACUACCCAGGAAGAGGAGACUCUACCGCACUUUCUCUGUUCUUCAUGCCGUGCGUGCAGCGACGCACGACCUCUGGCGCACCUGGCGGCUCUCCAUCAAGAAAUGCGGAGGAAAGACAAAACGAGAACAUCGACAAAAGAGCGACUCCUAUGCCGACGCUCAUGCCUCUCUGACCCUCUGUGGCAUAGCGUGUCUGUACUGCGCGGUGUAAUGGUGUCCCACCGCUCCCCACCGCCUUUUAAGUGUUUUCUUUUCUUUUUUGUGUGUGCUUGCUCGUCUACUCUGGCCACAUCCCCUGCGCUGCUUUGCCCGACGAGAG
rnacentral:misc_RNA from 1 species